rnacentral:rRNA from 1 species
AGAACGAACGCUGGCGGCAGGCUUAACACAUGCAAGUCGAACGGUUGUAGCAAUACAGCAGUGGCAGACGGGUGAGUAACACGUGGGAACCUUCCUAGGGGUACGGAACAACUCAGGGAAACUUGAGCUAAUACCGUAUACGUCCGUGAGGAGAAAGAUUUAUCGCCCCUAGACGGGCCCGCGUAGGAUUAGGUAGUUGGUGAGGUAACGGCUCACCAAGCCUACGAUCCUUAGCUGAUCUGAGAGGAUGAUCAGCCACACUGGGACUGAGACACGGCCCAGACUCCUACGGAGGCAGCAGUGGGGAAUCUUGGACAAUGGGCGCAAGCCUGAUCCAGCCAUGCCGCGUGAGUGAAGAAGGCCUUCGGGUUGUAAAGCUCUUUUACCAGGGACGAUAAUGACGGUACCUGGAGAAUAAGCCCCGGCAAACUUCGUGCCAGCAGCCGC